UUAGGAAAAACACAAACACUUUCUACUCCACCGAAGAAAUAGAGAGGAGAGAGACUGAGAGCGUUUUCAAAGUUAGGGUUUCGAAAGGUGAUUUGAUCUGCAAUUCGCAAUUUGGUCCGAGCUUAAUCGAAUUUACAAAGUUAGGGUUUCGAAAGGUCUAAGGAGUUGAUCUGCAAUUCACAAUUUGGUCUGAGGCAUAAUCGAAUUUCUUGCAAGGUCUAGCCAUUGGUUGCCAAAAUUCUCUCUCUCACGUCGCUUAAUCGAGUCAGAGGGUUGAAUUGGAGCAACUUACGAGGAGAAAUUCUCCUUAAACCAGCCGAGUAAUUCACGGACUAUAGGUACAUGAUUCCCUUUUGACAUGCUUUUCUGGUUUUUGGUACAAAAAAAAUAAAAAGAAAAUCUCCUCUCCUGUGAAAAGCGCAUCACUUCUCGCUGCUUCCCUUUGUUCUUGCUGCUCCCACUCACAAUUCUCCCCCAAACCCAGACCGGCGAAGUACUGCUUCUACACCACCACCACCACCACCUGUUCGCUCCUGCUUCUACUCACCACCACCACCAGCGCGCUUUGAUUUAACCGGCUUCUUCCUUUAAUUAUAAAAUUAAACAUAAAAUAAAUCUUCACUUCCAAUGCGUUUUCCCUUUGUUAAGAAAAAAAGGAACUCCUCCACUUUCGAUUGAUAAUUUCCUCCAUCUUCUUCAUACUACAUUAACCGCUAGUUUUGGCGAUUCUCUACACCAGCGACGCCUCCAUUAUAGGAAAAAUUACGGCCACCGCCUCCAUCAGACACCCUUCUCUUUUGGUUUGAUUGCUGAGAUUGUCAAGAAAGGUUUGACACCUUCUCAGAUUUGUGUGAUUUUGAGGGAUUCUCACGAGUUCGGUAUUGUAGAACGAGAAGCUAGAAACGAGGGUAUAUUUCAGCUUGCAUCCUCUUGGAAAUCUGGCAUAUAAGUCUUAUAGAUUCUGGAAGAUGCUCUUGUUAUUUUUGGUAUCUAUUCCCUUCAACUCUUUAGAUCGAGUUCAUCAGUUCCUGUUGUACAUUAACCUUGAAGGUGAUGAUACUUUGUCUUUUCAAAUACAGUCGUCUUUGUACAUUAACCUUUAUGGGUCUUUCCCCGGCCUUCUCCUUAUAACUAAUCAAGUACAAUUGUGAAAUUACCAUUUUUCUGAUUAAUAAAUCAUGUGCCUACUGCAUUUAUGUUUUCAGUCACUUGAUAGGUCAAUUUACGAUGGUAUCCUGCAGAUGUUAUUCAUCCCAUGAGGCUUGAGUUUGAUGUUUUUGCAGCCUUAUUUUGUUUGCUGAGUUUUGUUGUAGUUGUUUACUUUAUUCUUGGUGGUUUAGUUUUGUGAUUGGUUUCUUUUUACCGCAUACCUACUCAGCACAAAACAGAAUUAGAAUCAUCGAGAAUUUAUAUUUUAUUUAUUAGAAUCAUCAAGAAUUAGAAACACCUAUAGUUGUACUUUAUCCUUCCUUCACCCACUCCUCUGAUUUUAUGUUUAAUUUGCCAUUAUGUCCCCCAUACAAAAUAGAUGGUUGGCAUAACAUUUGUGUGACUUAUGUUUGUAUAGGCUUCCGUAGUUGUUUAUCAUUUUCUUCCCCCUAUUUAAAAGUUCAGCUUAUUACACUUUAGUUCAUAUCUGCAGUGUAAAACCUGUUUGUGGAAAGUCAUAUGCUUGGUAGUGUUUCAGCUAGUGAAAGCGAUUCCAAAGGAUGCAUCUAGUCGCCGCAUGUUAGUGAGCAAAACGGGCAGUCCGGGGGGACAAGUAGGACAAAUAACUAGGUAAUAUAUUUGUUUUGGCAUUAUAUUAUGUUGCAUUUUCUCAUUCUCUAAUACAAAAUGUGAUUUCUGUCUCCCUUCUUUUCUAUCUUUUUUUUUUGUCUUCUGAACUUCUAAAAAGAAGUGGACAACUAUGGACUAAUGUAUGCAAUGUUUAUUUCUUGAGAUGGGGAAAACUAUGGAUUAUGCUACUGUUCGGUUCCAAAAUUUAAGAAAUGAUCUACAUUCAUAGCUGUUGCACAUGAUACAGAUUGGAGUUUUGAGUUUUUUUACCGUAGCUGACUAAUAUUGAAUUUUGAUGUUGUGCUUGGCUGUUUGCUGCACAUUAGGAAAGUGUUGCUGUUGUUUUCUUUGUUGUUGUACCUGCUUCAGACUGCUUUUGUUGCUUGCUUAUUUGUUAUUCUGUUCUUCUAACCAGUUUUGGUGCUGCUUGUCUAUUCUGAUCUGCAAAUGUUGUCAUGCACCUCCUGCUUAUGUUCUUCCCCUGCUGAUGUUAUUGUUCUUCUCUUCUUCUGGUUUUGCAUUGUUCCUUCUGGGAUGCUUAAUGUUUCUGCUUAUGCUAUGUUUACUGUUUCUGGAUAGAUGGGAGGUGGUGACAUACAACACUGUUAUACUCUCCUGGCAGCUGCUACAGGAUCUUCCCAGAAAUCUGGCUGCCAUACCUUGACUACUUCAUCUCUCUUUCUUUUAUAUAUUGUUUGCUGGACAUAUAUAUGUUGUCUACAUUUCUGACAAUCAUCAUCUCAUAGAAUGGUUUUGCCAAUAUAUAUCAUCUCAUGGAAUUGUUUGCUGCACAGAUUCAUCAUCUCAUCUCAUAGUAAGUUUAGGGUCUGAAAUUCCAUGCUUUAGUUGAAUAAAUAUGAAGUUAAAUUAUUUAAUUUAUCGUGUUUUAGCUAGUGCACCAUCUCUAACUUGUGCCCAUUCGUGAUUUAAACUUCCAGGAGCAUGGUGAGCUAAAUGGAGAAGAAAUGUAGAUCUAGCAAUGACACGGUGGAGGCUCUUGUUUGUUUUUGAGUCAUUUUGUGAUUUCUAGUAAUGUACGUUGAAUUUGUUUAUGUGGAUUUUAAUUUUAUGCAUUUUGUCAUUAAAAACACUAAAUUAAUUAGUGAACGAUUAUUUUGUAAUGUAUGUGUCCUAUGGGCAUUAAUAUUGUAAUAUUACUCUUUAAGUCAAUGAAAAUCUUUUAUUAUUGA